CUCAUUUUCAGCUUGUGCACAUUUAUGCUUCAUAGGAUGAGCUUCUAAACAUGUCUGUAUGUCCUGUGAAGUCACUUGCAUUACAGAAGUGCCACAAAGCAAGCGUGUCCUUAAUUGCUGAAUCAAUUUUACAAGAACAGAGUUGAAUUGGUUAGAAUAAAAAGACACAAAGAAACGCCCUGUGUGAAUUUUUGUGGAAAUAGUGAAGUUCGUGGUUGAGCAUGGUGGAAAUUCACAACGUUCAUCACAGAUGGGAGAAACAGACUGAAUUAAAUGAAAUAAAAUUCAAUGAUGACUAAAGGAUCAAUCAACACCUGCCACUUCGUUUUAUGAAGAAUGGAGACAAGAACAACGUCAACAAGGAAGUUGAAGGAAAACAGUAAGCUAAUUUUUCCAAGCAUGCCUAAUAAUUACCUGUGUAUCUUCCCACUGCGUUUUGUGAGGAUUGGAGACAAGAACAGCGUCAACCAGGAAGUUGAAGGAAAACAGUAAGCUAAAUUUUCCAAGCAUGCCUAAGAAUAUCUGUGUAUCUUGGUAUUUCCAGCUGCGUUUUAUGAGGAUUGGAGACAAGAAUAAUGUCAACCAGGAAGUUGAAGGAAAACAGUAAGCUCAACUUUCCAAGCAUGCCUAAUAAUAUUUGUGUAUCUUCCCGCUGCGUUUUAUGUGGAAUGGAGACAAAAACAAGGUCAACCAGGAAGUGGAAGGAAGACAGUAAGCUAAUUUUCCAAGCAUGCCUAGGAAUAUCUGUCUAUCUUGGUAUUUCCAGCUGCGUUUUAUGAGGACUGGAGACAAGAACAAUGUGAACCAGGAAGUGGAAGGAAAACAGCAAGCUAAUUUUUCCAAGCAUGCCUAAUAAUAUCUGUGUAUCUGUGUAUCUUCCCGCUGCGUUUUAUGUGGAAUGGAGACGAGAACAACGUCAACCAGGAACUGGAAGGAAUAUAGUAUGGUAAUAUUUCCAAGCAUGGUUAAGAAUAUCUGUGUAUCUUUGUAUUUCUAGCUGUGUUUUAUGAGGAAUGGAGACGAGAAGAACGUCAACAAGGAAGUUGAAUGAAAACAGUAAGCUAAUUUUUGCAAGCAUGAUUAAUAAUAUCUGUGUAUCUUUGUAUUUCCAGCUGCGUUUUAUGAGGAAUGGAGACAAGAACAAGGUCAACAAGGUAGUUGAAGGAAUACAGUAAGCUAAAUUUUCCAAGCAUGCCUAAUAAUAUCUGUGUAUCUGUGUAUCUUUCAGCUGCGUUUUAUGAGGAAUGGAGACGCGAUUAAGGUCAACCAAGAAGUUGACGGAAAACAGUAAGCUAAAUUUUCAAGCAUGCCUAAUAAUAUCUGUGUAUCUUCUUGCUGCGUUUUAUGAGGAGUGGAGACAAGAACAACGUCAACCAGGAAGUGGAAGGAAAACAGUAAGCUGAUUUGUCCAAGCAUGCCUAAUAAUAUCUGUGUUUCUUUGUAUUUCCGUCUGCGUUUUAUGAGGAAUGGAGACAAGAACAACGUCAACGAGGAAGUUGAAGGAAAACAGUAAGCUAAUUUUUUCAAGCGUGGCUAACAAUAUGUGCGUAUCUGUGUGUUUUCCCGCUGCGUUUUAUGAGGAAUGGAGAUAAGAACAAUGACAACAAAGAAGUGGAAGGAAAACAGUAAGCUAAUUUUUCCAAACAUGCCUAAUAAUAUUUGUGUAUCUUUGUAUUUCCAGCUGCGUUUUAUGAGGAAUGGAGAGAAGAACAAGUUGAACGAGGAAGUUGAAGGAAAACAGUAUGCUAAGUUGUCUAAGCAUGCGUAAGAAUAUCUGCGUAUUUUCCAGCUGUGUUUUAUGAGGAAUGGAGAUUACAAGAGAAAUGUCACCAAGGAAGUGGAUGGAAUACAGUAAGGUCAUUUUUUCAGUGGGUGCCUAACGAUAUCUGUGUAUCUUCCCGCUGCUUUUUAUGAGGAAUGGAGACAAGAACAACGUUAACCAGGAAGCUGAAGGAAAACAGUAAGCUUAUUUUUUUCAAGUGUGCUUAAUAAUAUCUGUGUAUCUUCACGUUGUGUUUUAUUAGGAAUGGAGACAAGAACAAGGUCAACAAGGAAGUUGAAGGAUACCAGUAAGCUCAAUUUUCCUUGUAUCCCUAAUAAUAUCUGUGUAUCUUCCCGCUGCGUUUUAUGAGGAUUGGUGACAAGAACAAUGUCAGCAAGGAAGUGGAAGGAAUAUAGUAAGCUAAUAUUUCGAAGCAUGCCUAAUAAUAUCUUUGUAUUUCCAGCUGUGUUUUAUGAAGAAUGGAGACAACGUCCACAAGGAAGUGGAAGUAUAACAGUAAGCUAAUUUUUCCAAGCAUGCCUAAUAAUAUCUGUGUAUGUUUGUAUCUUCAAGCUGAGUUUUAUGAGGAAUGGAGACGAGAACAAGGUCAACAAGGAAGUGGAAGGAAAACAGUAAGCUAAUUUUUCCAAGCAUGCCUAAUAAUAUCUGUGUAUCUUCCCGCUGGGUUUUAUGUGGAAUGGAGAGAAGAACAAGGUCAUCCAGGAAGUGGAAGGAAAACAGUGAGAUAAUUUUUGCAAGCGUGCUUAAUAAUAUUUGUGUAUCUGUGUGUCUUCACGUUGAGUUUUGUGAAGAAUGGAGACAAGAACAAGGUCAACAAGGAAGUUGACGGAAAGCAGUAACGUAAUUUUUCUAAGCAUGCCUCAUAAUAUUUGUGGAUCUGUGUGUCUUCCCUUUGUGUUUUAUUAGGAAUGGAGACAUGAACAAGGUUAACUGGGUAAUCGAAGGAUAACAGUUGGCUAAUUUUUCCAAGCAUGUCUCAUAAUAUUUGUGGAUGUGUGCAUCUUUCUGCUGUGUUUUAUGUGGAAUGGAGAUAAGAGAAAUGUCAGCAAGGACGUGGAUGGAAUAUAGUCAGGUAAUUUUUUCCGUGCGUGCCGAAGAAUAUCUGUGUAGGUUUGUAUUUGCAGCUGUGUUUCAUGAGGAAUGGAGUCAAGCACAAGGUCAACUAAAAAGUUGAAGGACAACAGUAAGCUAAAUUUUGCAAGCAUGCCUAAUAAUAUCUGUAUCUUCCUGCUGCGUUUUAUGAGGAAUGGAGACGAGAACAACGUCAAUAACGAAGUUGAAUGAAAACAGUAAGCUUAUUUUAUCAAGCGUGCCUAAGAAUAUCUGUUUAUCUUCCCGCUGCGUUUUAUGAGGCAUGGAUAUAGCAGCAACGUCAACCAGGAAGUUGAAGGAAAACAGUAAGCUAAUUUUUUCAAGCGUGCCUAACAAUAUCUGCGUAUCUGUGUAUGUUUCCCGUGUGUUUCAUGAGGAAUGGAGACAAGUAAAAUAUUAACUAGGAAGUGCAAGGAAAGCAGUAAGUUAAUUUUAUCAAGCUUGCCUAAUAAUAUCUAUGUAUCUGUGUGUUUCCAGCUGUGUUUUAAGAGGAAUGGAGACAAGAACAACAUCAACCUGGAAGUUGAAGGAAAACUUUAAGCUAAUUUUUUCCAAGCAUGCCUAAUAAUAUCUGUGUAUCUUCCCGCUGCGUUUUAUGAGGAAUGGAGACACGAACAAGGUCAACCAAGAAGUUGAAGGAAAGCAGUAAGCUAAUUUGUCCAAGCAUGCCUAAGAGUAUCUGUGUAUCUUUGUAUUUCCAGUUGCGUUUUAUGAGGAAUGGAGACAAGAACAAGGUCAAUGAGGAAGUGGAACGUAAACAGUAUGCUAAAUUUUCCAAGCAUGCCUCAUAAUAUCUGAGUAUCUUUCCGCUGUGUUUUGUGAAGAAUGCAGACAAGAACAACGUCAAUGAGGAAGUUGAAGGAAAAUAGGUGUGUUUUACGUGGAAUGGAGAUGAGUACAACAUCAACCGGGAAGUUGAAGCAAACCAGUAAGCUAUAUUUUCCAAGCGUGCCUGAUAAUAUCUGUGUAUUCGUGUAUCUUCCCGCUGCGUUUUAUGAGGAAUGGAGACAACAACAACGUCUACUAGGAAGUGGAAGGAAAACACUGUGUUUUACGAGGACUGGAGAGAAGAACAAGGUCAACAUGGAAUUUGAAGGAAAACACUAAGCUAAAUUUUCCAGCAUGCCUAAUAAUAUCUGUGUAUAUGUGUAUCUUCCUGUUGUGUUUUAUGAGGAAUGGAGACGAGAACAAUGUGAACCAGGAAGUUGAAGGAAAACAGUAUGCUAAUUUUUUCAAGCAUGCCUAGUAAUAUUUGUGUAUCUUUCUGCUGCGUUUUAUGAGGAAUGGAGACGAGAACAACGUCAACCAGGAAGUUGAAGGAAAACAGUAAGGUAAUAUUUCCAAGCGUGCCUUAUCAUAUCUUAGUGUAUUUUCCCGCUGCGUUUUAUGAGCAAUGGAGAUAAGAACAAGGUGUACCAGGAAGUGGAAGGAAUAUAGUAAGCUAAAUUUUCCUAGCAUGCCUGGUAAUACCUGUGUAUCUGUGUAUCUUCCUGCUGCGUUUAAUGAGGAAUGGAGUGAAGAGCAAGGUCAACAAGGAAGUUAAAGGAAAAUGGUAAGCUAAUUUUUGCAAGCAUCCCUAUUAAUAUCUGUGUGUCUGUGUAUCUUCCCGCUGUGUUUUAUGAGGAAUGGACACAACAACGUCGAUAAGGAAGUUCAAGGAAAACAGCAAGCUAUUUCUUUCAAGCGUGCCUAAGAAUAUCUGUGUAUCUUUGUUUUUCCCGUUGCGUUUUAUGAGGAAUGGAGAGAAGAACAAGAGCAACCAGGAAGUUGAAGGAGAAUAGUAAGCUAAUUUUUUCAAGGAGGCCUAAUAAUAUUUUUGUAUCUUCCUGCUGUGUUUUGUGAGGAAUGGAGACAAGAGAGAUGUCACCAAGGAAGUGGAAGGAAUAUAUUAAGGUAAUUUUUUCCAAGCAUGCAUAAGAAUAUCUUUGUAUUUUUGUGUUUCAAGCUGCGUUUUAUGAGGAAUGGAGAUGACAAGCAUGUCCACAAGGAAGUGGAAGGAAUAUAGUAAGCGAAUUUUUCCAAGCGUGUCUAAUAAUGUCUGUGUAUCUUCCUGCUGCGUUCUAUGAGGAAUGGAGAUAAGAAUAUUGUCAACCAUGAAGUGGAAGGAAAGGAGUAAGGUGUGUUUUAUGUGGAAUGGAGAUGAGUAAAACGUCAAUUGGGAAGUUGAAGGAUAGGAAUUGGCUAAUUUUUCAAAGAAUGUGUGUGUUUUAUGUGGAAUGGAGAUGAGUAAAAUCUCAAUGGUGAAGUUGAAGGAUAAUACUUAGCUAACCUUUUAAAUGAUGCCGGAGAAUGUCUGUGUAUUUCCCUUCUGCAUUUAAUGAGGAAUGGAGAGUAGAGUAAUGUCACGAUGGAAGGGGAUGGAUAUUAGUAAGUUGCGUUUUCUGAGGAAUUGAGACGAGAAUAAUGUCAACUGGGAAGUUGAAGGAAAACAGUAAACUAAUUUUUCCAAGAAUGCGUAAUAAUAUCUGUGUAUCUGUGUACAUUCCUGCUGUGUUUUAUGAGGAAUGGAGACAAGAACAAGGUCAACCAGGAAGUUGAAGGAAAACAGUAAGCUAAAUUUUCCAAGCAUGCCUAAUAAUAUCUAUGUAUGUUUGUAUCUUCCUGCUGUGUUUCAUGAAGAAUCGAGACGAGAACAAUGUCUACCAGGAAGUUGAAGGAAACCAGUAAGCUAAAUUUUCCAAGCAUGCCUAAUAAUAUUUGUGUAUCUUUCUGCUGUGUUUUAUGAGGAAUGGAGAUGAUAAGAAUGCCAACAAGGAAGUGGAAGGAUAACAGUAAGCUAAUUUUAUCAAGCGUGCCUGUUAGUAUCUGUGUAUCUGUGUGUGUUCCAGCUGCUUUUUAUGAGGAAUGGAGACAAGAACAAUGUCAACCAGGAUGUUGAAGGAAAACAGCGAGCUAAUUUUUCCAAUCAUGCUUAAGAAUAUCUGUGUAUCGGUGUAUCUUCCCGCUGCGUUUUAUGAGGAAUGGUGACAAGAACUAUGUCACCAAGGAAGUGGAAGUAAUACAGUGAGCUAAUUUUUCCAAGCAUGCCUAAUAAUAUCUGUGUAUGUUUGUAUCUUCCUGCUGCGUUUCAUCAAGAAUUGAGAGAAGAACAGUGUCAACCAGGAAGUUGAAGGAAACCAGCAAGGUGUGUUUUAAGAGGAAUGGAGACCAGAACAAGUUGCGUUUUAUGAGGAAUGGAGACAAGAACAAUGUCAACCAGGUAGCUGUAAGAAAACAGUAAGGUAAUUUUUGCUAGCAUGUCUAAUAAUAUCUGCAUAUCUUUAUAUCUUUGUAUCUUCUUCCUGUGUUUUAUGAGGGACGGAGACAAGAACAACGUCAAUUGGGAAGUUGAAGGAUAAUAGUUAGCUAAUUUUUCCAAGUGUGGUUAAUAUUAUCUGUGUAUCUUCCUGCUGCGUUUUUAUGAGGAAUGGAGUUCAAGAACGGUCAAUAAGGAAGUAGAAGGAAUAUAGUAAAGUAAUUUUUGCAAGCGUGCCUAAUAAUAUCUGUGUAUUUUUGUGUUUUAUGAGGAAUGGAGAGAAGAACAAUGUCAACUGUGAAGUUGAAGGAAAACCGCUAGCUAAUUUAUGCAAGUGUGCUUCAUCAUAUUUGUGUAAUUGUUUAUGUUCGUGCUAUGUUUUGUGAGGAAUGGAGAGAAGAACAAUGUCUACUGGCAAGUUGAAGGCAAACAGCAAGCUUUUCUCAGACCUUGGGCUUCUGCAACGCUUUCAAGAGAAGAUUAGACAAUAUCUCUGAGGAACAGCUUUGGUUUAGUGGAUCGUACCUUUUGACCGAG